rnacentral:rRNA from 1 species
GUGGGGAAUAUUGGACAAUGGGCGAAAGCCUGAUCCAGCCAUGCCGCGUGAGUGAUGAAGGCCCUAGGGUUGUAAAGCUCUUUCAACGGUGAAGAUAAUGACGGUAACCGUAGAAGAAGCCCCGGCUAACUUCGUGCCAGCAGCCGCGGUAAUACGAAGGGGGCUAGCGUUGUUCGGAAUUACUGGGCGUAAAGCGCACGUAGGCGGACUAUUAAGUCAGGGGUGAAAUCCCGGGGCUCAACCCCGGAACUGCCUUUGAUACUGGUAGUCUAGAGUCCGGAAGAGGUGAGUGGAAUUCCGAGUGUAGAGGUGAAAUUCGUAGAUAUUCGGAGGAACACCAGUGGCGAAGGCGGCUCACUGGUCCGGUACUGACGCUGAGGUGCGAAAGCGUGGGGAGCAAACAGGAUUAGAUACCCUAGUAGUCC